AUUGGAAAGCAAGCACCUGAUCCCCGCUAACCCCAGUCGGGAUCCGCAAAGAGACUGCACCAAUUAUUAGCGGUAUCCCCCCAAUUUUUUUAUGGCAGCUGGAGGAUUCUUGGAGAAGUGCAGUGACUGGAGGCAUGGCCAAAACUGAAGUGCCACAAAACAGCAAUUAAAAAUAAAUCGCAGAUACUGAAAUCUACUUGUCUUUGAUGUUUCAUGUGUAAGAGGAUUGAGGCUGCUCCCUGUAAGCGUUGAUCUAACCAUUGGACCUCGUUAUAACCAUCUAGGAUUAAUGAGAUUUCUUCCAGAGUGAGAAAUGGUUUCAUACUGAAGAGAUAAACCUGUGAGAGAUAGGGACCUGUUAUGUGGAGUGAAGACCAGAACAAAAAUCAAAUUGAACGGAUAUACAGUAAGAGUGACACCACGGCAUCAGACUUGAGUAAAAGAGGAGUGACAAAUGUCAAUGAAACCCAUCUGUAUCUGAGGUCAAAUGGAAGGUGCACUGAUGUACAGUAUAUUGAUGCAACCCUUGGAAAGUUUGACUUGACUACAAAUGACCUGAACUUUGACCUGCUGCUUAGGUGUUCACAUUUCUAUCACUUGUCUCCCUGAUCAUACUUGGAUUUUGUUUUUCUUUUGAUAUUUCAGUAAAGGGGAGCCUUUCCUGAGACUUCUGAGCUGUCCAUUGCAAUAGAAAGCAAGCUGUGUUGUCACUGGGGAAUUGCAGCGAGAGUAAGUAGGUACUGUAGCAUGAAUUGAUUAAAGGGGUCAUUCUGACCCAUUCGCUCGCUGCGUUUUAACUCAGCAGAGCGAACGCGUCCCUACUGUGCAUGCGCCGGCGCCGUAGUGCGCCGGGGCAUGCCAGACGGCUGAAGGCCGUAGCAGGGAUGCGAUUGCCUCUGCCUGAUUGACAGGCAGAGGCGAUCGCUGGGCGGGAGGGGGCGGAACGGCGGCGUUUAGCCACCAUUUCGUCGGUUUGGUCCGGAGCGAACGCAGGCGUGGCUGCUGUGCGAUGCCUUUGCACUUCUGCGAGGGGGGGGUUGCGGACUGACAUGCGGGGCGGACUAGCCCUGUGCUGGGCGUCCCCCCGCAUGUCAGUGUGAAUGAUCGUAGCUGUGCUAAAUUUAGCACAGCUACGAUCAACUCGGAAUGACCUGUUUUUGUUUGGAGCAUUGUUGCAAGUUUUUGUUUGGAGCAUUGCUGCAAGUUUUUGUUUGGAGCAUUGUUGGUUCUCAACUUCUCUGUGAUUCUGGAUUAAUAAUAAAACUUUUUAUGGUAUGUAGCUGUAUAAUUAGUAGUAUUAUUAGUGUUUA